rnacentral:rRNA from 1 species
UACGGAGGAUGCAAGCGUUAUCCGGAAUUAUUGGGCGUAAAGCGUCCGCAGGUGGCAAUGUAAGUCUGCUGUCAAAGCGUCUGGCUCAACCAGAUAAAGGCAGUGGAAACUACAUAGCUAGAGUAAGGUAGGGGUAGAGGGAAUUCCUGGUGUAGCGGUGAAAUGCGUAGAGAUCAGGAAGAACACCGGUGGCGAAAGCGCUCUGCUGGACCCUAACUGACACUGAGGGACGAAAGCUAGGGGAGCGAAUGGG